GUGGGGAAUAUUGCACAAUGGGCGAAAGCCUGAUGCAGCAACGCCGCGUGAAGGAAGAAGGCCCUUGGGUCGUAAACUUCUGUUCUAAGGGAAGAUAAUGACGGUACCUUAGGAGCAAGUCCCGGCUAACUACGUGCCAGCAGCCGCGGUAAUACGUAGGGGGCGAGCGUUAUCCGGAAUUUUUGGGCGUAAAGAGUACGGAGGUGGUUAUCUAAGCGAGGGGUUUAAGGCAAUAGCUCAACUAUUGUUUGCCCCGCGAACUGGGUGACUUGAGUGCUGGAGAUGAAAGCGGAAUUCCUAGUGUAGCGGUGAAAUGCGUAGAUAUUAGGAGGAACAUCAGUGGCGAAGGCGGCUUUCUGGACAGUAACUGACACUGAGGUACGAAAGUGUGGGGAGCAAACAGGAUUAGAAACCCGGGUAGUCC
rnacentral:rRNA from 1 species